AAGGAUCAUUAACGAAUAUAAUUCGAGGGGUUGUCGCUGGCCUCGCUCGCGCGAGGCAUGUGCACGCUUCUCGUUUUUCUCUCAACUCACCUGUGCACCUAAUGUAGGAUGCCUCUCCUCCGGGAGGGGGGACCUAUGUCUUCGUAACAUCUUCGUGUAGAAAGUCUUUGAAUGUUUACUAUCAUCGAGUCGCGACUUCUAGGAGACGCGAUUCUUUGAGAUAAAAGUUAUUACAACUUUCAGCAACGGAUCUCUUGGCUCUCGCAUCGAUGAAGAACGCAGCGAAAAGCGAUAUGUAAUGUGAAUUGCAGAUCUACAGUGAAUCAUCGAAUCUUUGAACGCACCUUGCGCUCCUCGGUGUUCCGAGGAGCAUGCCUGUUUGAGUGUCAGUAAAUUCUCAACCCCUCUCGAUUAGCUUCGAGAGGGCGCUUGGAUAGUGGAGGUUGCCGGAGACUUGGAUUCGUCCGAGACUCGGGCUCUUCUGAAAUGCAUCGGCUUGCGGUCGACUUUCGACUAUGUGCGACAAGGCUUUCGGCGUGAUAAUGAUCGCCGUUCGCUGAAGCGCAUGACUGAACGUCCCGUGCCUCUAAUACGUCGACCGCUUAUUAUCUCUCCGGAGAGAACGGGGUCUUCCUAAUUGACUUUUGACCUCAAAUCAGGUAGGACUACCCGCUGAACUUAA
rnacentral:rRNA from 1 species